rnacentral:rRNA from 1 species
AUUGAACGCUGGCGGCAGGCCUAACACAUGCAAGUCGAACGAGUGGCGGACGGGUGAGUAAUGUCUGGACAACUGCCUGAUGGAGGGGGAUAACUACUGUAAACGGUAGCUAAUACCGCAUACCAUCAGAUGUGCCCAGAUGGGAUUAGCUUGUGGGUGGGGUAACGGCUCACAAAGGCGACACGCCCUAGCUGGGCUGAGAGGAUGACCAGCCACACGGGAACUGAGACACGGUCCAGACUCCUACGGGAGGCAGCAGUGGGGAAUAUUGGACAAUGGGCGCAAGACUGAUGCAGCCAGGCCGCGUGUAUGAAGAAGGCCUUCGGGUUGUAAAGCACUUUCAGCGGGGAGGCGUUACCCGCAGAAGAAGCCCCGGCUAACUCCGUGCCAGCAGCCGCGGUAAUUC